UACGGAGGAUGCGAGCGUUAUCCGGAUUUAUUGGGUUUAAAGGGUGCGUAGGCGGGUUCUUAAGUCAGCGGUAAAAUUGAGAGGCUCAACCUCUUCGAGCCGUUGAAACUGGGGACCUUGAGUGAGCGAGAAGUAUGCGGAAUGCGUGGUGUAGCGGUGAAAUGCAUAGAUAUCACGCAGAACUCCGAUUGCGAAGGCAGCAUACCGGCGCUCAACUGACGCUGAAGCACGAAAGCGUGGGUAUCGAACAGG
rnacentral:rRNA from 1 species